rnacentral:rRNA from 1 species
ACUGAGNNACACUANNNUUGAAACCGUUAAUUGUGAUGUGUGAACGAAGCUAACUGAAAUCAAAACCGGUGUCCGGUAUGAUGUCGUAAAUGAAAAAAUGAUAUUAAUUUACUAAUAGUGUCGNCAAAAACUGGUGCCAGCAGACUCGGUAAGACCAGAGACGCAAACGUUAAUCAUCUUAAUCAGGCGUAAAGGGUUUGUAGGCGGCUUUAAAGUUAAAUAAUUAAAGCUUGAAUCUAAUCGAGGUAAGAAGAAUAAUUAGUGUAGGGAUCAAAUCCAUAGAUACUAAUUAGAAUACUAAAGGCGAAAGCAUCUUGCCAAUAUUGAUUGACGCUGAGAAACGAAAGGUAGAGAAGGCAAUAGGAUUAGAUACCCUAGACACUUCUACCGGUAAACGAUGAAUGGUAAUCCCUAGUUAAUUAAAUUAGAGAUGAGGUUAACACGUUAACCAUUCCGCCUUGUGAGUACGAUUGCCAAAUCGAAAACCAAAAAAUUAGGCGGUCUCGAAGCAANCGAANNNAACAUGGC